rnacentral:rRNA from 1 species
AACGCGAAGAACCUUACCCAGGCUUGACAUCCUUGGAAUUUCUGCGAAAGCAGAGAGUGCUUUAUUGAGCCAAGUGACAGGUGAUGCAUGGCCGUCGUCAGCUCGUGUCGUGAGAUGUUUGGUUAAGUCCAUCAACGAGCGCAACCCUUAUAGUUAGUUGUAUUUUUCUAGCUAGACUGCCUCGGUAACGGGGAGGAAGGAGGGGAUGACGUCAGGUCAGUAUUUCCCUUACGUCUGGGGCUACAAACACGCUACAAUGGCCGGUACAAAGGGCAGCGAAGCCGCGAGGUGAAGCAAAUCCCAUCAAAGCCGGUCUCAGUUCGGAUUGCAGGCUGAAACUCGCCUGCAUGAAGCUGGAAUCGCUAGUAACGGUAAGUCAGCACAUUACCGUGAAUACGUUCCCGGGCCUUGUACACACCUAUCUC